UACGUAGGGCGCGAGCGUUGUCCGGAAUUAUUGGGCGUAAAGAGCUCGUAGGCGGCUUGUCACGUCGGGUGUGAAAGACCGGGGCUUAACUCCGGUUCUGCAUUCGAUACGGGCUAGCUAGAGUGUGGUAGGGGAGAUCGGAAUUCCUGGUGUAGCGGUGAAAUGCGUAGAUAUCUGGGAGAUGAACCGAGCCGGUAGGGCGGCGAAGGCUGGCGGUUCUGGGACUGAUAUCUGGAACCACUAAGGA
rnacentral:rRNA from 1 species